GACGAACGCUGGCGGCGUGCCUAAUACAUGCAAGUAGAACGCUGAAGAGAGGAGCUUGCUCUUCUUGGAUGAGUUGCGAACGGGUGAGUAACGCGUAGGUAACCUGCCUUGUAGCGGGGGAUAACUAUUGGAAACGAUAGCUAAUACCGCAUAACAAUGGAUGACACAUGUCAUUUAUUUGAAAGGGGCAAUUGCUCCACUACAAGAUGGACCUGCGUUGUAUUAGCUAGUAGGUGAGGUAAUGGCUCACCUAGGCGACGAUACAUAGCCGACCUGAGAGGGUGAUCGGCCACACUGGGACUGAGACACGGCCCAGACUCCUACGGGAGGCAGCAGUAGGGAAUCUUCGGCAAUGGGGGCAACCCUGACCGAGCAACGCCGCGUGAGUGAAGAAGAUUUUCGGAUCGUAAAGCUCUGUUGUAAGUCAAGAACGGGUGUGAGAGUGGAAAGUUCACACUGUAACGGUAGCUUACCAGAAAGGGACGGCUAACUACGUG
rnacentral:rRNA from 1 species